UUCUCUUAAAGUAAUAUAAUACAUUUUAAUUUCGACUUAAAACCAAGACCCCUUAGUCUAAGAGAAA
rnacentral:tRNA from 1 species